AAUACUGAGCCUUCAUUCAAACUAAAAGGCUGGAAGGGAGGCAGCUGCCUUUGUUUGCCAUGGAUGGGUAGGGGCUGCACUGAGCAGCACCGGUGUUCUUCAUCCGGCUGCACCCCCAACAGAGCUCUUUCUUCCCCAGAUCCCUUUUACAGUUGGAUUCUCCCUCUUGGAUCUGGCUCUGCCUUAGUCCGACCUAGAGGGAUCAGCUUCGCCCACGCCCACUCUCACCCGGAACCUUUCAUCUCUUAUUGAAGCCUUUUAGGCCCAUUGGGAUGUUCAUUAGAACUCUGAAAACUACAGUUCUCCCCUUUAUGAGGACUGCACCACAGCUCGCCCUCUCCUGGGUUCCGGUAAGAAGAGAUUCCAAUACCACUCUUUUUUCAGAAUUCAGAAAGGCAAGAGACCACCUUACUGAGCUUCAAACUGGGGCUGGGAACGCUGCCAUGAAUUGGGCUUGGUCUGUCUGAAGGGAGCCACCUUUUCGACAAUCCUUAGACUUCUUUUGCCUGUUGGAAUUACACCUUGGAUCGUGGCGAAGUCUAUAGAGGUCAGAUUAAGAAGAACCAAAGCAGAAUAAACGUAGAACCCGAUGCUGAGUUCACGAGUGAGGACGACCUCUUCCUAUAUGCUUUGCUAUACCCUGCGUUUUGAACAUUAAGGACGAGAUAGGAGGCCCAUAAUGUUUCUUCUUGCUUUAAUCCUGUCGUGGCAACGUUGACUUCCAGUAAGAAAGCCUGGUUGCAGAGUGAGCCCAUGGGACAGCCCUCUGAAAUUAUACUGCUUACAACCAUGCUGAGUCUGCAAGGACUUCGUCCAAGCCUUUCCGUCCAGGACCUCAAACAGAUCCAAUCACAAGAAGAGAGAUUUCAGGAAAGAGAAAAUUAUUCCUAUCAUCGGGGUUUUUGAAGAACAUGAAAUGACUGGGAAAAUAAUCAUGUUAAGUGGAAAAAAAAAAGAAAUCUAUCUGUUGUAAUUUUCAAAUAAUUUUUAAAUAAAUUUGAAAAAUUAAGAGAACUAUAUAUAUAAUACAUUCCUAAUCUUGUGAAAAAUAUAUAUGCAUUAAUAUUAUUGAAAGAAAUAUAUCAAAAGGUGAACAGCAAUUAUCACCAAUCUAGAUUAUGAGAUUAGGAGUGAUUUUUUUUCUUUGUCCUAUACUAUUUAAUAUUUUCUACCAUUAAAAUAUUCUGAUUUUCUAAUUAGAAUAGUACGUUAGACAAAGAAGGACAAAUAUCACAUGAACUCUCACUCUCUUAUGGAACAGAUCUUGUGGAAUCUAAAAAAGUUGAACUCAUAGAAAAAGAGGAAAAUGAUGGUUACCAGUUAGAAAAAAGGAAUAAGUUCAAGAGAUCUAUUGUACACCAUGGUCAAUAUAGUUAACAAUAUAUUUUAUACUUUAAAAUUGCUAAGGUAGUAGAU
rnacentral:lncRNA from 1 species